UCCCCCGUGGCGCAAUUGGCUAGCGCGUCAGACUGUUAUUCCGACAGAGCAUCUGGAGGCUGGUAGUUCAUGCCCACCCGGGGGAG
rnacentral:tRNA from 1 species